ACAGCCAUAAUCACGUUGAAACACUAGUUCCCAUACGAGCACCGAAGUUAAGCAACGUCGAAUCUGGCCAGUACCUUGAUGAGUAACCGCUUAGGAAUACCAGGUGCUGUAAG